rnacentral:rRNA from 1 species
UGCCAGACUCCUACGGGAGGCAGCAGUGGGGAAUAUUGCACAAUGGGGGAAACCCUGAUGCAGCGACGCCGCGUGAGCGAUGAAGUAUUUCGGUAUGUAAAGCUCUAUCAGCAGGGAAGAAGAUGACGGUACCUGACUAAGAAGCCCCGGCUAACUACGUGCCAGCAGCCGCGGUAAUACGUAGGGGGCAAGCGUUAUCCGGAUUUACUGGGUGUAGAGGGAGCGUAGACGGCGGCGCAAGCCAGAUGUGAAAGCCCGGGGCUCAACUCCGGGACUGCAUUUGGAACUGUGUGGCUGGAGUGUCGGAGAGGCAGGCGGAAUUCCUAGUGUAGCGGUGAAAUGCGUAGAUAUUAGGAGGAACACCAGUGGCGAAGGCGGCCUGCUGGACGAUGACUGACGUUGAGGCUCGAAAGCGUGGGGAGCAAACAGGAUUAGAUACCCCAGUAA